CGAACGCUGGCGGCGUGCUUCCCACAUGCACGUCGAACGGCAAGGCCCUGCUUUUGUGGGGUGCUCGAGUGGCGAACGGGUGAGUAACACGUGAGUAACCUGCCCUUGACUUUGGGAUAACUUCAGGAAACUGGGGCUAAUACCGGAUAGGAGCUCCUGCUGCAUGGUGGGGGUUGGAAAGUUUCGGCGGUUGGGGAUGGACUCGCGGCUUAUCAGCUUGUUGGUGGGGUAGUGGCUUACCAAGGCUUUGACGGGUAGCCGGCCUGAGAGGGUGACCGGCCACAUUGGGACUGAGAUACGGCCCAGACUCCUACGGGAGGCAGCAGUGGGGAAUAUUGCACAAUGGGCGGAAGCCUGAUGCAGCAACGCCGCGUGCGGGAUGACGGCCUUCGGGUUGUAAACCGCUUUCGCCUGUGACGAAGCGUGAGUGACGGUAAUGGGUAAAGAAGCACCGGCUAACUACGUG
rnacentral:rRNA from 1 species